rnacentral:rRNA from 1 species
AUACGUAGGUGGCAAGCGUUGUCCGGAAUUAUUGGGCGUAAAGCGCGCGCAGGCGGUCCUUUAAGUCUGAUGUGAAAGCCCACGGCUCAACCGUGGAGGGUCAUUGGAAACUGGGGGACUUGAGUGCAGAAGAGGAAAGUGGAAUUCCAAGUGUAGCGGUGAAAUGCGUAGAGAUUUGGAGGAACACCAGUGGCGAAGGCGACUUUCGGGUCUGUAACGGACGCUGAGGCGCGAAAGCGUGGGGAGCAAACAGGAUUAGAUACCCUGGUAGUCCACGCCGUAAACGAUGAGUGCUAAGUGUUAGGGGGUUUCCGCCCCUCAGUGCUGCAGUUAACGCAUUAAGCACUCCGCCUGGGGAGUACGGUCGCAAGACUGAAACUCAAAGGAAUUGACGGGG